UACGUAGGGUGCAAGCGUUGUCCGGAAUUAUUGGGCGUAAAGAGCUCGUAGGCGGUUUGUCGCGUCUGCUGUGAAACCCGAGGCUCAACCUCGGGCCUGCAGUGGGUACGGGCAGACUAGAGUGCGGUAGGGGGAUUGGAAUUCCUGGUGUAGCGGUGGAAUGCGCAGAUAUCAGGAGGAACACCAAUGGCGAAGGCAGAUCUCUGGGCCGUAACUGACGCUGAGGAGCGAAAGCAUGGGAGCGAACAGG
rnacentral:rRNA from 1 species